rnacentral:rRNA from 1 species
CAGCUCUCCGAGUGGUAGGGAUGAUUAUUGGGCUUAAAGCGUCCGUAGCUUGCUUAGCAAGUCUCCUGUUAAAUUCAGCGACCUAAUCGUUGAGCCGCGGGAGAUACUACUAGGCUAGGAGGCGGGAGAGGUCGACGGUACUUCUGGGGUAGGGGUGAAAUCCUAUAAUCCCAGGAGGACCACCAGUGGCGAAGGCUGUCGACUAGAACGCGCUCGACGGUGAGGGACGAAAGCUGGGGGAGCGAACCGGAUUAGAUACCCGAGUAGUCC